rnacentral:rRNA from 1 species
UGGGGAAUUUUGGACAAUGGGGGCAACCCUGAUCCAGCAAUGCCGCGUGAGUGAAGAAGGCCUUCGGGUUGUAAAGCUCUUUUGUCUGGGAAGAAAUCCUUUGGGCUAAUACCUCGGAGGGAUGACGGUACCGGAAGAAUAAGCACCGGCUAACUACGUGCCAGCAGCCGCGGUAAUACGUAGGGUGCGAGCGUUAAUCGGAAUUACUGGGCGUAAAGCGUGCGCAGGCGGUUGUGCAAGACAGAGGUGAAAUCCCCGAGCUUAACUUGGGAACUGCCUUUGUGACUGCACGGCUAGAGUGUGUCAGAGGGGGGUAGAAUUCCACGUGUAGCAGUGAAAUGCGUAGAGAUGUGGAGGGAAUACCGAUGGCGAAGGCAGCCCCCUGGGAUAACACUGACGCUCAUGCACGAAAGCCGUGGGGAGCAAACAGGAUUAGAUACCCUGGUAGUCCACGCCCUAAACGAUGUCAACUAGUUGUCGGGUCUUAAUUGACUUGGUAACGCAGCUAACGCGUGAAGUUGACCGCCUGGGGAGUACGGUCGCAAGAUU